CAGUCGCCGCGGGAAUACGGAGGGUGCAAGCGUUAAUCGGAAUUACUGGGCGUAAAGCGCACGCAGGCGGUCUGUCAAGUCAGAUGUGAAAUCCCCGGGCUUAACCUGGGAAUUGCAUUUGAAACUGGCAGGCUAGAGUCUUGUAGAGGGGGGUAGAAUUCCAGGUGUAGCGGUGAAAUGCGUAGAGAUCUGGAGGAAUACCGGUGGCGAAGGCGGCCCCCUGGACAAAGACUGACGCUCAGGUGCGAAAGCGUGGGGAGCAAACAGGAUUAGAUACCCCAGUAGUCCCUGUCUCUUAUAC
rnacentral:rRNA from 1 species